UACGUAGGGUGCGAGCGUUGUCCGGAAUUAUUGGGCGUAAAGAGCUCGUAGGCGGUUUGUUGCGUCUAUCGUGAAAACCUGCAGCUUAACUGUGGGCUUGCGGUGGAUACAGGCAGACUUGAGUUCGGUAGGGGAGACUGGAAUUCCUGGUGUAGCGGUGAAAUGCGCAGAUAUCAGGAGGAACACCGGUGGCGAAGGCGGGUCUCUGGGCCGAUACUGACGCUGAGGAGCGAAAGCGUGGGGAGCGAACAGG
rnacentral:rRNA from 1 species